AUACGUAGGGGGCGAGCGUUGUCCGGAAUGCUUGGGCGUAAAGGGCGCGUAGGCGGCCCGGUAAGUCUGGAGUGAAAGUCCUGUUUUUAAGAUGGGAAUUGCUUUGGAUACUGUCGGGCUUGAGUGCAGGAGAGGUAAGUGGAAUUCCCAGUGUAGCGGUGAAAUGCGUAGAGAUUGGGAGGAACACCAGUGGCGAAGGCGACUUACUGGGCCGUAACUGACGCUGAUGCGCGAAAGCGUGGGGAGCGAACAGGAUUAGAUACCCUGGUAGUCCACGCGGUAAACGAUGAAUGCUAGGUGUAGGGGGUAUCGACCCCUCCUGUGCCGGAGUAAACACAUUAAGCAUUCCGCCUGGGGAGUACGGCCGCAAGGUUGAAACUCAAAGGAAUUGACGGGG
rnacentral:rRNA from 1 species